CAGUCGCCGCGGGAAUACAAAGGGGGCUAGCGUUGUUCGGAUUUACUGGGCGUAAAGCGCACGUAGGCGGACUUUUAAGUCAGGGGUGAAAUCCCGGGGCUCAACCCCGGAACUGCCUUUGAUACUGGAAGUCUUGAGUAUGGUAGAGGUGAGUGGAAUUCCGAGUGUAGAGGUGAAAUUCGUAGAUAUUCGGAGGAACACCAGUGGCGAAGGCGGCUCACUGGACCAUUACUGACGCUGAGGUGCGAAAGCGUGGGGAGCAAACAGGAUUAGAUACCCCCGUAGUCCCUGUCUCUUAUAC
rnacentral:rRNA from 1 species